AACGCAACUUGCGCUCCUUGGUAUUCCGAGGAGCAUGCCUGUCUGAGCGUCUUUGUACUCUCAAACCCGGAAUCCCGGGUUUGGAACUUGGGAGCUUGCGGGCGUCCUUCCGGUCGUCGGCUCUCCUGAAAUGCAUUAGCGAGGGAUGACACCGAACCUGGCGUGGCGCUCGACGUCGUAAGGAUCGUCGUGGGUCGCGGGUGCAGGCGAGGCGUCGUCUCGUGCUUCCAGCGUCGGCGAGCUCUUCCCAGAGCCGCCAUCGGAGGUCAGACCUCAGAUCAGGCAGGACCACCCGCUGAACUUAA
rnacentral:misc_RNA from 1 species